UACAGAGGUCUCAAGCGUUGUUCGGAUUCAUUGGGCGUAAAGGGUGCGUAGGCGGCGCGGUAAGUCGGGUGUGAAAUCUCGGGGCUUAACUCCGAAACUGCAUUCGAUACUGCCGUGCUUGAGGACUGGAGAGGAGACUGGAAUUUACGGUGUAGCGGUGAAAUGCGUAGAGAUCCGGAGGAACACCGAAGGCGAAGGCAGUCUCCUGGCAAGUUACUGACGCUCAGGUGCGAAAGCUAGGGGAGCGAACAGG
rnacentral:rRNA from 2 species